rnacentral:rRNA from 1 species
GAGUAACGCGUGGGUAACCUACCCAGAAGUUGGGGAGUAGCCUCGGGAAACCGGGGGGUAAUACCGGAUGAGUCCUGAACGACAUAAGUCGAUCAGGGGAAAGGCGGGGAUCUUCGGACCUGUCGCUUCCGGAUGGGCCCGCGUCCGAUUAGCUUGUUGGUGAGGUAAUGGCUCACCAAGGCUUCUAUCGGUAGCCGGCCUGAGAGGGUGAACGGCCACAUUGGGACUGAGACACGGCCCAG